UCUUGUCAUUACUGGAGUCUUGAUUCUAGCCACCUGUUCUUAUUGCUUGCCCUCAUGUAGAGCACCCACAAAUAAGCAGCGUGCCCUGAGUCUUCCAUCAGAACCAAAUCCUCAGAGGAAAAGAACAUAUACAAAUGCUCAAACUUUGCUUCUGGCCAUGUGGAUGGGAGAUACAUGAGGAAAGUAGACACAGAUCCUUCUGGAAAGAGAAGUCUGACCUGUUGAUGCCUGAGACCCAUACUGUCCAAUCAAAGGGGUUUAUGGUCUUCUAAGCAUUUUGUGGUGAAACAUGGAGCCCAUCAAUACGACCACCCUGCCAGACGCCUCAAACACAGAACAAGGCCACUGCAAGGGACACUGCAGGAUGAUUCUGAUAACACUCUACAGCAUGGUUUUGCUUGGAGGCACUACUGGGACAGUAUUGAUGGCACGUAUGAUGUGCAAAAGGAAAAGCCAAUCAAUGAUUGCCAUGAUCGUUCUCAAUAUCAUAGUGCUACACUCAAUCCUCCUGGUCAGCCUCCCAUUCCGCCUCAGUUAUUAUAUCUUAGAGGUCUGGGAGUUCGGAUCCUUUCUCUGCCGACUGGUCAGCAGCAUAAUAUACGGUCAUAUGUACUUCACCUUUGUUUUCUAUGUGGCCAUUGUCAUACUCCGAUUGCUCAUCUAUUUUAAGAAACUCCAAAUACAACAGUUGCAAAAGUACCACAUGGUAGUUUUAAGCACUGUUAUUUGGACCAUUGGUAGCCUUGUUUUUUGGCCAAUAUUAUUUUUGCAAUAUGGUGUACAUCCAAGUUACUCAGAACAACAACGAUGCUUUGAGUUCUACAAAGAUCUCGACCGCAGGGAACUCAUUAUCUUGAACUACUCUAUGAUUGUCAUUAUGAUCUCAACGGUUGUGAUACUCUUUCUGAUGCAGAUGGCCGUCAUCGUUCAACUGAUAAAAGCUCUCUGGCCUAACAUGUGGGCACAUCAAGACUAUAGAGCUCAAAUCAAAAGUUUCUUCUUCCUCCUAGUAAUAGUGGUCUGUUUUAUACCCCACCAUGUAUUCCGGGUACAUUUUAUUCAAAAUUACUCAGAGAUAGACAAGUCUGAGUUAGUUCUUUAUAAUGAAAUUUUUGUUGCUUUGACUACCGUCUGUUGCCUGGAUAUGGUGUGUUUCAUAGGUGGGGUUAUCCAUUAAAUACUCCUUGUCACUCACUUUGUAAUCAGUUUUUUACAGUUGUGACAAAACAGUUUCAAAUGAAUGGCUGCUACCAUGAUUUCAAAAUUUUUCAAAUUCUCUGCUCUUAAUUGGCACUGGAAUUAUUUUUCCGUGAAAAGGUAAUGAAGACUGAUUGUUCCCCUCUUCUUGGAUGAUCUGUUCUCCAUUACCUGUAGCGUAUGUUUAAUUUCCAUAGCUCUACCCCAGUUGACCCCAAACAUCCUUUCCAGACUCAGCUGCUACCUCUCUUUCAUGCAGUACUUACUCAUGCUAAGCACAACUACUGCCUUCCCUAUGCAACAAUCCAGGCUGUUCUCUGCAUUUGUUCUUGCUGAGCUUUGAUCUUAGAAUGUUCUUGCCCUCCAUCUCCAAACUAUCUAUUCUUCAAGGUCCAGAGAAUUUGAAGAUAUGGACUCUAGAAACCUUAACUUAUUCAACUUAUGCUCAACCUGAUGUACGUGCCUCUUGAAAAUGACUGACAGCCCGUGAAGCUAUGGCUGCUGGCUGUGGUAUUUGGAGGAAAGAGCUAGCUUCGAUAGUCAAUAGACUUGACUAUUGGGAGGAAACACUUCCAGGAUCACUGGAGCAUUAAUACUGUUUGAUUCUGACUAGGACUUUGUAGGUACCCAGGAAAUAGAGAAUGCCUCCCAGAUUGACAUUUCCAGACAUGGAUCCAUUAAGCAGGAAAAGAAACUGGAAAAGGUAGAAGGCAGCUGGUCUUAGUUGAAGCAUGCUAUACGAGACUAUAUUAGACUAUAUGAGAGCCCAAACUUCUGAGAGUGUGGGACUGUUCUUAAGCUUAUUCAAGGCACUCUAUAUGACCAAGCAAUAUUACAUAAUGAAAAUCAAUUCUGGUGUCAGUUAAACUCAAUAAAAAUAACCAAGAUAAGCAACUUGGAUUGAGGUAAGUAGAAUCCAAGUUGGUUGUCUUGGUUAUUUUUAUUGUGUUAGCUGAUACUUACCUGACAUAGAAAUUGACAUGCCCUUAUACUUUGCUUAUAAUAAUGCUACCUUUGAUAUUAAAUUUAAUGAAUCAAAUAACCAAACCCUAAACUGGUUGACAAGGCAGCAUAGUUAAUUAAAAA